rnacentral:misc_RNA from 1 species
AACGCAUAUGGCACCUGCCAGCCCUGCUGGAAGGUAUGCCUGUUUGAGAAUCAUAUUCAUUCUGAUCCCAUUCACACUCGUGAUUGUGAUCGACCUGGGCCUUCACCACUGAUUGCCUCGAAUUGCUCGCGAUCGUCGUGUCAUGUCCAUUCGACAUUAUUGACGAUCACAACCCAAACAUGAUCUCAAAUCAGGCAAGACUACCCGCUGAACUUAA